rnacentral:rRNA from 1 species
CCUACGGGGCGCAGCAGUGGGGAAUAUUGGACAAUGGGCGAAAGCCUGAUCCAGCCAUGCCGCGUGUGUGAAGAAGGCCUUCGGGUUGUAAAGCACUUUCAGUGGGGAAGAAAGCCUUGGGGCUAAUACCCUCGAGGAAGGACAUCACCCACAGAAGAAGCACCGGCUAACUCCGUGCCAGCAGCCGCGGUAAUACGGAGGGUGCGAGCGUUAAUCGGAAUUACUGGGCGUAAAGCGCACGUAGGCGGUCUGAUAAGCCGGUUGUGAAAGCCCCGGGCUCAACCUGGGAACGGCAUCCGGAACUGUCAGGCUAGAGUGCAGGAGAGGAAGGUAGAAUUCCCGGUGUAGCGGUGAAAUGCGUAGAGAUCGGGAGGAAUACCAGUGGCGAAGGCGGCCUUCUGGACUGACACUGACGCUGAGGUGCGAAAGCGUGGGUAGCAAACAGGAUUAGAUACCCGGGUAGUC